rnacentral:lncRNA from 1 species
UUUAGAGUACUCCUCCAGAGUCCGCUUUCUCUUGACGGAAGUGAGCACAAAUGCACAAUUUUUACAUUUGCAUCCAUCCUGAAUGGACUAGUGGAGGAGUCGAGAAAUAGAGACCUAACCCGUGCUUAUUUUUACAAAACACAUUUCAUGAUGUUUCAGGCCAAAUGCAGAAUCAAUGGCACAAUUAUGGGAUCAUUCUCAUUCCUGGAUAGGUGGCAUUCGUUAGAUGAAUGGAAGCCGGCAUGGUUCAUCGUCUGUAACCCCAAGAAGCCCUGCUUUUUCAUAGGACUCGAUACAAUCCACGAGUGUCUCCUCCAUCUUCCUUGGUUUCCACCCUAAAUUCUUCAGCUUGUCCGAAGUGACUCCAACGUUAAAGUCCACAUCAACCAUCCUGCCAACCCAAAAUUUCGUAAUGAAAAUCCUUCGUAGUAUAUGAUAAGCAAGCUAUGACAUGGUGUUGAUAGUCUUGAUGCCAUGACACUUACUUGUCUGCAUAAGUGUAGCUAGGGUACAUGUUCUUCAUGAUUGCCAGCAAAUCCUUUAGGUCCACUUGGUCCAGUGAGCAUAUGUAUCUCUCAGAUGGCCCUGCCUUGUUGUACAACAGGAGCAAUGCGUCGGUAACAUCGCGAACGUCUACGAUGGGAAAGAACUUGUUGUUCAUCAUGUCAGGGCCUCCUGCGAUCGGACAUAUGAUGGAACUACAUUAGGCAUAAGGAUGUGUAUUUUAAAAGGUCAUUCUCUGAACUUCAUUAAAACCGGGGGUGUCUUAUUACACUAUUAAUAUAAAAGCCGAGGAGCUCCUCCGACGUCAAUUUUUGUUCUGAACUUCAUCGCUCUGCUGCACUUCGACAACAAAAACAGCAAAAUGGAAGGAAAACAACCGGCUUUGGUUUCCAAAAGUACUAACCACUAACCACAUGUGAUGUGUAGGGCUGGAAUUCGAGCCGAGUCGAGCCAGCUCGGCUCGACUCGCUAGAGCUCGUUUCGUUAACGAGCUAGCUCGACUCGACUCGUUGUUAUAACGAGCUCAAAUCCAAGAUUGGCUCGACUCGUAUAACUCGCAAGCUGGCUCUUUUAGCUUGUUAAGCUCAUUAAAGAUAUGAACAUAAAACGCUCAUAUAUUAUAAAAUGACUAUGUAUAUAUUAAACAUAUAUAUCACUAAACAAUAGUAAUUUGCUUGUAACGCAUGAGUCUGGGCCUUCAACGGCUAGGCCUUGUGUUGUGUGCCUGGGACAUAGGGUGCUGAAUGGCUGAUCUUUUUUUGUAUUGGGAGUGGCUGAUCUUUUGUACCGAGCCUAACGAGUUACACGAGUACUCGUGAGAUUGGCUCGUUUAACUUGGUCUAUAAACGAUCUUAAACUAAAGCUCGGCUUGCCUCGUUAUUCUUCGAGUUCGAGCCGAUUCGAGCCGAGUCACGAGCUACUCAUUUAGCUCGCGAGCUUCGAGCUUUUUUUCCAGCCCCAGUGAUGUGCAAUGUACAAAAUGAUUAUGUAUCCUUGUGAUAGAUGAGCUGAGGAGUGGAACCUUUUAUCAUGUAGACGAGGACCUUGCUGCUGGUAUUGACCGCCACAUGCUGCAAUAGAGGGCCGAAGACCAGACCAGGGCAAAGUGCGACGACGUGCAGCCCGUUCUUCUCUCCGUAUUCCAGGGCCGAAGACCGGACUAUCCAGACGGUUAAAUUUUGUGGAGCUUGCUUAAUGUCCUAACAUGCUUGGAUGUAUGAGGAAUAAGAUUUUACCUUGGAUAUGACCAUUUGUGUGAUUUAUUUGUAUGCAUGGUAGCAUGGGGGGACUAUCCAGACGGUUAAAUUUUGUGGAGCUUGCUUAAUGUCCUAACAUGCUCGGAUGUAUGAGGAAUAAGAUUUGAUCUUGGAUAUGACCAUUUGUGUGAUUUAUUUGUAUGCAUUGUAGCCCGUAGCAACGCACGGGUAUACUACUAGUGUUCAUAACUCUGCAGUCACUGCUUUUAGAGUACUCCUCCAGAGUCCGCUUUCUCUUGACGGAAGUGAGCACAAAUGCACAAUUUUUACAUUUGCAUCCAUCCUGAAUGGACUAGUGGAGGAGUCGAGAAAUAGAGACCUAACCCGUGCUUAUUUUUGCAAAACACAUUUCAUGAUGUUUCAGGCCAAAUGCAGAAUCAAUGGCACAAUUAUGGGAUCAUUCUCAUUCCUGGAUAGGCGGCAUUCGGUAGAUGAAUGGAAGCCGGCAUGGUUCUUCGUCUGUAACCCCAAGAAGCCCUGCUUUUUCAUAGGACUCGAUACAAUCCACGAGUGUCUCCUCCAUCUUCCUUGGUUUCCACCCUAAAUUGUUCAGCUUGUCCGAAGUGACUCCGACGUUAAAGUCCACAUCAACCAUCCUGCCAACCCAAAAUUUCGUAAUGAAAAUCCUUCGUAGUAUAUGAUAAGCAAGCUAUGACAUGGUGUUGAUAGUCUUGAUGCCAUGGCACUUACUUGUCUGCAUAAGUGUAGCUAGGGUACAUGUUCUUCAUGAUUGCCAGCAAAUCCUUUAGGUCCAUUUGGUCCAGUGAGCAUAUGUAUCUCUCAGAUGGCCCUGCCUUGUUGUACAACAGGAGCAAUGCGUCGGCAACAUCGCGAACGUCUACGAUGGGAAAGAACUUGUUGUUCAUCGUGUCAGGGCCUCCUGCGAUCGGACAUAUGAUGGAACUACAUUAGGCACAAGGAUGUGUAUUUUAAAAGGUCAUUCUCUGAACUUCAUUAAAACCGGGGGUGUCUUAUUACACUAUUAAUAUAAAAGCCGAGGAGCUCCUCCGGUGUCAAUUUUUGUUCUGAACUUCAUCGCUCUGCUGCACUUCGACAACAAAAACAGCAAAAUGGAAGGAAAACAACCGGCUUUGGUUACCAAAAGUACUAACCUCUAACCACAUGUGAUGUGCAAUGUACAAAAUGAUUAUGUAUCCUUGUGAUAGAUGAGCUGAGGAGUGGAACCUUUUAUCAUGUAGACGAGGACCUUGCUGCUGGUAUUGACCGCCACAUGCUGCAACAGAGGGCCGAAGACCAGACCAGGGCAAAGUGCGACGACGUGCAGCUCGUUCUUCUCUCCGUAUUCCAGGGCCGAAGACCGGACUAUCCAGACGGUUAAAUUUUGUGGAGCUUGCUUAAUGUCCUAACAUGCUCGGAUGUAUGAGGAAUAAGAUUUUACCUUGGAUAUGACCAUUUGUGUGAUUUAUUUGUAUGUAUUGUAGCCUGGGGGGACUAUCCAGACGGUUAAAUUUUGUGGAGCUUGCUUAAUGUCCUAACAUGCUCGGAUGUAUGAGGAAUAAAAUUUGACGUUGGAUAUGACCAUUUGUGUGAUUUAUUUGUAUGCAUUGUAGCCCGUAGCAACGCACGGGUGUACUACUAGUGUUCAUAACUCUGCAGUCACUACUUUUAGAGUACUCCUCCAGAGUCCGCUUUCUCUUGACGGAAGUGAGCACGAAUGCACAAUUUUUACAUUUGCAUCCAUCCUGAAUGGACUAGUGGAGGAGUCGAGAAAUAGAGACCUAACCCGUGCUUAUUUUUGCAAAACACAUUUCAUGAUGUUUCAGGCCAAAUGCAGAAUCAAUGGCACAAUUAUGGGAUCAUUCUCAUUCCUGGAUAGGCGGCAUUCGGUAGAUGAAUGGAAGCCGGCAUGGUUCGUCGUCUGUAACCCCAAGAAGCCCUGCUUUUUCAUAGGACUCGAUACAAUCCACGAGUGUCUCCUCCAUCUUCCUUGGUUUCCACCCUAAAUUGUUCAGCUUGUCCGAAGUGACUCCGACGUUAAAGUCCACAUCAACCAUCCUGCCAACCCAAAAUUUCGUAAUGAAAAUCCUUCGUAGUAUAUGAUAAGCAAGCUAUGACAUGGUGUUGAUAGUCUUGAUGCCAUGGCACUUACUUGUCUGCAUAAGUGUAGCUAGGGUACAUGUUCUUCAUGAUUGCCAGCAAAUCCUUUAGGUCCAUUUGGUCCAGUGAGCAUAUGUAUCUCUCAGAUGGCCCUGCCUUGUUGUACAACAGGAGCAAUGCGUCGGCAACAUCGCGAACGUCUACGAUGGGAAAGAACUUGUCGUUCAUCGUGUCAGGGCCUCCUGCGAUCGGACAUAUGAUGGAACUACAUUAGGCACAAGGAUGUGUAUUUUAAAAGGUCAUUCUCUGAACUUCAUUAAAACCGGGGGUGUUUUAUUACACUAUUAAUAUAAAAGCCGAGGAGCUCCUCCGGUGUCAAUUUUUGUUCUGAACUUCAUCGCUCUGCUGCACUUCGACAACAAAAACAGCAAAAUGGAAGGAAAACAACCGGCUUUGGUUACCAAAAGUACUAACCUCUAACCACAUGUGAUGUGCAAUGUACAAAAUGAUUAUGUAUCCUUGUGAUAGAUGAGCUGAGGAGUGGAACCUUUUAUCAUGUAGACGAGGACCUUGCUGCUGGUAUUGACCGCCACAUGCUGCAACAGAGGGCCGAAGACCAGACCAGGGCAAAGUGCGACGACGUGCAGCUCGUUCUUCUCUCCGUAUUCCAGGGCCGAAGACCGGACUAUCCAGACGGUUAAAUUUUGUGGAGCUUGCUUAAUGUCCUAACAUGCUCGGAUGUAUGAGGAAUAAGAUUUUACCUUGGAUAUGACCAUUUGUGUGAUUUAUUUGUAUGUAUUGUAGCCUGGGGGGACUAUCCAGACGGUUAAAUUUUGUGGAGCUUGCUUAAUGUCCUAACAUGCUCGGAUGUAUGAGGAAUAAAAUUUGACGUUGGAUAUGACCAUUUGUGUGAUUUAUUUGUAUGCAUUGUAGCCCGUAGCAACGCACGGGUGUACUACUAGUGUUCAUAACUCUGCAGUCACUACUUUUAGAGUACUCCUCCAGAGUCCGCUUUCUCUUGACGGAAGUGAGCACGAAUGCACAAUUUUUACAUUUGCAUCCAUCCUGAAUGGACUAGUGGAGGAGUCGAGAAAUAGAGACCUAACCCGUGCUUAUUUUUGCAAAACACAUUUCAUGAUGUUUCAGGCCAAAUGCAGAAUCAAUGGCACAAUUAUGGGAUCAUUCUCAUUCCUGGAUAGGCGGCAUUCGGUAGAUGAAUGGAAGCCGACAUGGUUCGUCGUCUGUAACCCCAAGAAGCCCUGCUUUUUCGUAGGACUCGAUACAAUCCACGAGUGUCUCCUCCAUCUUCCUUGGUUUCCACCCUAAAUUCUUCAGCUUGUCCGAAGUGACUCCGACGUUAAAGUCCACAUCAACCAUCCUGCCAACCCAAAAUUUUGUAAUGAAAAUCCUUCGUAGUAUAUGAUAAGCAAGUUAUGACAUGGUGUUGAUAGUCUUGAUGCCAUGGCACUUACUUGUCUGCAUAAGUGUAGCUAGGGUACAUGUUCUUCAUGAUUGCCAGCAAAUCCUUUAGGUCCAUUUGGUCCAGUGAGCAUAUGUAUCUCUCAGAUGGCCCUGCCUUGUUGUACAACAGGAGCAAUGCGUCGGUAACAUCGCGAACGUCUACGAUGGGAAAGAACUUGUUGUUCAUCGUGUCAGGGCCUCCUGCUAUCGGACAUAUGAUGGAACUACAUUAGGCACAAGGAUCUGUAUUUUAAAAGGUCAUUCUCUGAACUUCAUUAAAACCGGGGGUGUCUUAUUACACUAUUAAUAUAAAAGCCGAGGAGCUCCUCCGGCGUCAAUUUUUGUUCUGAACUUCAUCGCUCUGCUGCACUUCGACAACAAAAACAGCAAAAUGGAAGGAAAACAACCGGCUUUGGUUUCCAAAAGUACUAACCUCUAACCACAUGUGAUGUGCAAUGUACAAAAUGAUUAU